rnacentral:rRNA from 1 species
AGUGAACGCUGGCGGUAGGCCUAACACAUGCAAGUCGAACGGCAGCACAGUAAGAGCUUGCUCUUACGGGUGGCGAGUGGCGGACGGGUGAGGAAUACAUCGGAAUCUACUUUUUCGCGGGGAUAACGUAGGGAAACUUACGCUAAUACCGCAUACGACCUACGGGUGAAAGCAGGGGAUCUUCGGACCUUGCGCGAUUGAAUGAGCCGAUGUCGGAUUAGCUAGUUGGCGGGGUAAAGGCCCACCAAGGCGACGAUCCGUAGCUGGUCUGAGAGGAUGAUCAGCCACACUGGAACUGAGACACGGUCCAGACUCCUACGGGAGGCAGCAGUGGGGAAUAUUGGACAAUGGGCGCAAGCCUGAUCCAGCCAUACCGCGUGGGUGAAGAAGGCCUUCGGGUUGUAAAGCCCUUUUGUUGGGAAAGAAAAGCAGCAGGUUAAUACCCCGCUGUUCUGACGGUACCCAAAGAAUAAGCACCGGCUAACUUCGUG